UAUAAUAAUAAUAAUAAAAAAAAAGAAAAACAGACACUCUAAAAUAAAAAAAAAAAUAAAUAAAAUAGUGCAUUUGAAACAAAAGAUACCUGCCCCUACCCAGUACUUUUCGUGUUUUCUGGGUCUCAGCAAUUCACUUGCAUUUGACUUUCAUUUAUCAUAUUUGUGAGAAUAGGUGAAGUUUUAGCUAAUAAGUAACGUAGUAUUAAAUCUCAGUGACUGCAAAAAAGACUAGAGCUUUCUAGCCAGCAAAUGCCUCUUUCCAUAAGGGAACAAAUUCUCCAACUUUCAAAAAUGUAGUAUAACAAACGGCUCUAUUUUAGAUUGUAUGGAAGUUGUAAACUUUAAUUACAUCUGUGUUUUUCUCCAUUCACCUGGUGUGAAGAGGGAGGGACUCAACCUGGGUGAGCAGCUAUUUAAGCAUCUGGCACAGGAAUCUUGGUCAGCCACAUGCGUGUGCAGGACUAGAAAGAAGUCCAGGUUUGUGUUGGGAGUCCAUCACUAAGUGUUUAUGUGCCAGUGAAGUCACCAGGCCUUCAAUACCCACAGCCAAGAGCUGUGUGGAGAGAAGGAGUCUGCCACUCCUGCAGUGUGGUUGACGAGCCUCGGUGCCCGGCACCUGCACCUGCACCUUGUUGCCUGUGGGAUUCCAACUCUCAUUGUUGCCUCAGAAACUUUUGUUGCCACAGAACUUUCUCACACUCACUGGCCCAGACGUUUGCAGAAUUCCAGGGCUAGUGUGUGGUCAGGCAGCCAAAUUCCAAUAUUAGAAUGCUGCUUGUGACCAUGAAACUCUGUUAACUCAGGCUUUUAAAGGGCUGACAUGGUAUUAUUAUCAGCAUUGAGGAUAUAACUUUGAACCAGAUGGAAAAGUUUCCUUGCCCUCAAGAAACUGACAUUCUAGUGGAGAUAAACAGAUAAUACCUACUACAUAAGAACUUCAGAAAUAUUAAGUGCUAUGAAUAAAACUAAACAAGGAUCACCAUUCUUGUCUAUAUCUGGAAAGAAGACAAACCUUGGGCAGCAAAAUGCUGUUUUUAUUAUUAAUGCAGUGAUGUCAAUCCAAACUAGAUGACUAUGAUUCAUGGAAUCUUCAAGGAAAACCAAGUACUCUUUUUUAAUAAAGUAAUGGAGCUGGGAAUCGCACAUCUGCUCUUAAAAAUCUGUUUUUCAUAAUACAGAACAUAUGUUAAUCGUCACAUCUUUUAUUAAACUGAAGGAAAAUU